AUAUGAUAGUGUAGCCACAGCCCUACAUCAGAGGCUUAAGUUAAGGAUGGACAAAUUUAGGAAUGACAUAUAAAGAAAAAGUAAAUGAUACAACACCGGCAGGAAGUGUAGAGUAGGGACCAGACAGGCUGGAGAAACCAGACCAGUAAAAGCUACAAGCAAGAGGAAAAUUCAAGCAAGCAGCCGGUAUCUCAAGGAUGGAGAGAGAGGGUGCAAGGAUUUAAAGUUUGAGACUGGAUGCUGGGUAAACGUUGGACAAGAACAGCAAGCUGCAUGGAUUUAUGCCAAGAGACAAUGUUUAUGUUGAAGAACCCAGAAAUACAUCAAUGUGCCCGAUUUUGAUAAACGGACAACAAGGACAAUGUAAACCCUGGGCCACGCAGGAUUUUGAUGGACUAGCUGCACGCCUUCCAGAAAUACAUGAAGGAGCCGGAAAAUGGAUACAAACUUUUGAGCAAAAGACAGCAGGGUGUGUCUCAGCCAUAGGAGAUAUCAAGGCCCUUUUGGCAAAGUGUGUCGGUGGAACAAAGUUGAAUGAACUUUUGAAUGAUGCUGGACUGAGAAUUGCAACUGACAACAUCAGAAGAGAUAAAAUGACCUUUGCCCCCUUCAGGAAGAGCACGUGGACAACAAUACACAGAGAAUACCCCAUGCGGAUUGACCCGAAGAUGCUGAAAGGUGAUCUGAUUGAUGAAACAGAAAAUUCAACAGCAUAUAUACAAGAACAGCUGAAACGGUGGUGUGGAGAACUGGAAAAAGACCCGGAAGAAGACUUUGUUUUAACUGCACUGUACAGAAAGGCAAUAAUGGAAGCUGUGCCACCACCGGUUAAAACCAAACUAGAAGAUGUGGUCGAACUGAACUGCAAAUCACACAAGGAGUUCUGUGAUCAUGUUUCACAUGCAGUCAAGCAGCACCGAAAGAAUGAGCUGAAGGCAACCACAGCAGAGAGAGAGAUAUGUAGAGGGGGCUGGCACAGUUACAGCGGGACGACUUUGUGAGCAAAACUAAGAAAAAAGCACAAGCUGUUCUGAAGGAGAAACAACCAGCUUUAAUGGUGCUAAUCAACAAACCUGCCCCCACCAUCCAGCAAACACAGAUAGCAACACCAGCCCAACCCACUCGGGAAAUGCUGAACAGCAAGCCACUCUCAUUGUUAUCUGUGCAAAGCCAAAACAGCAAAACAGCAGGAAUGGACAGAAACACCAAGGAGGCAGAGGACAAGGCAGAACAAAAAGAUCACGUGAUAGAUGCUGGGGCUGUGAAGAUGCUGGGGCAGCCUGGACACUUCAGAAGUGAAUUUCUGAAUAACCCAUGUUCUAAUUAAGAUCAACAAAACUGACAGCAGAAUCAACAAGGCGGACAGUUGAACCAACAAUGCUGGCAGCCAAACCAGAGACAGUAAGGCCCACCCAUAGCAGCAGCAGCAAUCACAACGACAACAACAAUCACAGUGUGGUCCAGUGAAUCUGUGGCGUGGGCCAGACCAAAGCUACUAAGGUUGCCCAGAGGAUUCUAACGGGAGGGGCCAACAUCCAUUGAUAACUGAAAAUGCUGACGACAGAUUGUUGACUCUGCAGGUUGAAGUUGAAGGCAAGUCUGAACCUAUGAUGACUGACACUGGAGCAACUUACACAUGCUAUUUAACUGGACGAGAAAUGCAGAAACUUCACAUUUACCUGCGAAGGUAAAUAACUCACUUAUUCUAGAUUACUGCAAGAUUUCCUUUUUAAUUAUUAAAAACAGAUUUGAAAAGAUCUAGUGCUGGACAAUGCGCUAUUCCAAUAUGUGGAUGACCUAUUAAUUUACUAUCCCACACUUGACCCAUGCUGUAGAGAUUAUAAAAGUAUUAAAUAAAUUAUCUGAGGGGGGAGGCACAAAGCCUCUAGAGCUAAAUUACAACAUUGUUAAACAUAGGUUAAAUAUUUGAGAAGAUUAAUUGCAUAUACGACUGAAAUUAUGACCCAGCAAAUUAGAAGGCAUGAAUAAGGUUCUUAUGCCACAAAGGAAAAAACAUGACAAAGUUUAGCUUUAAUAGGAUAGAAGAUCAUUUAACAAAGAUUGCAUAUCCCUACAAUCAUUCAUAAUUCGAUGAAGCAACAAAAUUUAAGUACCUUACUUUCAUUUUACAGCAUUCAUAUUAUAAAAAUGAGACAUAACUGUAGCCCCAAUUGUGAUGAAGAUUUCUCACUAGAUGAUAUUGUCUUAACAGAACUAAUGGAACAGGGGAAAUAAAUGUGGGAAAAAUUCCAUAAUAAUUGUAUCACAAUUUGACAUUUGGAUAAAUACAGUAUACGUUUUGGCAAAAUUGAUAUGUCAGAAGUUAUUAAAUCUGUGAGCUACAACGAUAUUCACAGAUAAUUUCACAAUAGUACAGUUAACUAGGAAGACCUGUAAAAACCAGACUAUAACUUUUUCCUGUUACAAACAAAAAACCUUGUCGUAGCUGAAUGUUUUUGGAUAUGUGGGAGAAAUGCCUUAUGAUACACACUCCCCAGAUAGUGAAAAUGCUUGUGUGCUAGUUAACUUAGCCCAGGCCAUUAGUAUUUAAAUGUGAAAAUUAUAUAACCUUGUUACAAACCCCUGCUCUUUAUUUUUGUGUAGUUUGGGUUUUUCUCUAUCCUAGUAGUGGUUGUCCAUUUGGAAGGGGGCGGAAACCAAUUAUCUAUGACGCCUGAGGUAUGACUGUUUAAGAGCUGUUGUGGCCCCUUACAAAGGAGAGCUACCCAUUUGUUUGAAAACCUUUCGUAUGUUUGCAUUUUUUUGGUAUUAAACAGUGAGUUUGGAUUUGUCUAGUUAAACGAGCUCAGAGAAAGUGUGAGUAAGUGAGCUGAACCGGAAGACUUUUUCCUGUGUUUGUUAUUUUCUUUCUCAGAAGUUAGGAAGGUUUUAACUCAGGAGAUCUUGUAGUUCAGGGGCCGUAUUCACAAAGAAUUUUAAGGCUAAAAGUAGCUCCUAACUGGCGAAUUUAGAAGCAACUCCUAAAAAUAAUAGGCGUGUCACUCCUAAAUUUAGGACUCCUAAUUUUUUUCACUAAGAGUAAUUCACAAAGCAUUUUAGCCCUAAAAGUAGCACCUAAGUCUGGGACAGCUUAAAAGAAGUCGAGAGGACUCCUAACUCACUAAGACCUAUUCACAAAGGAUCUUAAAAUGUCUUAGGUGCUGAUCCUCCUUAACAUGGACAGUUUCACCAACUCAAAAGCAUUGCACAUACUUAAAAGCACACUUUAAUGUAAGCAUAUUGUUUAUGACAUUUGUUUCAUAAUUCAUUACAUUCAUGACAAGCAGGAAGUUUUUUAGAAUUACAUGAAACAAUAAUGAUAUUAAA